CGCAGUCCGAACAAAACUUAACAGACAGGCAUUGUUCAUCGUCUCAGACCAGUUAUCUCUACCGACGCUUUUUCCCUUCCAUUCUUCUUUCUGCCGCUGCCUCACAUCUUUACAACAACAAUCAAUGGCUUGAGAGAGGAAGCAAGCGAAUCCAAUGAGGGAGAUUAAGGUUCAGAAACUUGUUCUCAACAUAUCCGUCGGUGAAAGUGGCGUGCCGCCAAGCAAAGUACACGGUGCGAUCAUUUGGGAUUAGGCGUAAUGAGAAGAUUGCGUGUUAUGUCACUGUUAGGGGAGAUGAAGCAAUGCAGCUUUUGGAGAGUGGCUUGAAGGUCCGUUGAGUUUGCCCUUUUAGCCACCACUUGUGCUGUUUGUUUCUUUCUUUAAACAAGUUUAGGCAGGCCUCCAAAGGAAUAUGUUCGCCUUAUCUAUUUCUCAUUAACCCUUUCAGUACUAUUUUGUUAUUUCA